rnacentral:tRNA from 1 species
UCCCUGGUGGUCCAGUGGCUAAGACUCCAUGCUCCCAAUGCAGGGGGCCUGGGUUCAAUCCCCAGUCAGGGAA